rnacentral:rRNA from 1 species
AGAGUUUGAUCCUGGCUCAGGAUGAACGCUAGCGGGAGGCUUAACACAUGCAAGUCGAGGGGCAGCAUUACUUUCGGGUAGAUGGCGACCGGCGGACGGGUGCGUAACGCGUAUGCAACCUACCUUAUGCAAGGGGAUAGCCCAUGGAAACGUGGAUUAAGACCCUAUAUUCUAUAGAUAUUGCAUAAUAUUUAUAGGAAAACUCCGGUGGCAUAAGAUGGGCAUGCGUCUGAUUAGCUAGAUGGUAAGGUAACGGCUUACCAUGGCGACGAUCAGUAGGGGUCCUGAGAGGGUUACCCCCCACACUGGUACUGAGACACGGACCAGACUCCUACGGGAGGCAGCAGUGAGGAAUAUUGGGCAAUGGAGGCAACUCUGACCCAGCCAUCCCGCGUGCAGGAUGACGGCCCUAUGGGUUGUAAACUGCUUUUCUACGCCAAGAAACCUAUUUACGAGUAAAUAGCUGACGGUAGCGUAGGAAUAAGCACCGGCUAACUCCGUGCCAGCAGCCGCGGUAAUACGGAGGGUGCAAGCGUUAUCCGGAUUUAUUGGGUUUAAAGGGUGCGCAGGCGGAAAAAUAAGUCAGUGGUGAAAUACUGCCGCUCAACGGUAGGGCUGCCAUUGAUACUGUUUUUCUUGAGUAUGGUUGAGGUAAGCGAAUGUGCGGUGUAGCGGUGAAAUGCAUAGAUAUCGCACAGAACGCCGAUUGCGAAGGCAGCUUACUAAACCAUUACUGACGCUGAGGCACGAAAGCGUGGGUAGCGAACAGGAUUAGAUACCCUGGUAGUCCACGCCGUAAACGAUGUUCACUCGCUGUUUGCGAUACACAGCAAGCGGCUGGGCGAAAGCAUUAAGUGAACCACCUGGGGAGUACGACCGCAAGGUUGAAACUCAAAGGAAUUGACGGGGGCCCGCACAAGCGGUGGAACAUGUGGUUUAAUUCGAUGAUACGCGAGGAACCUUACCUGGGCUUAAAUGCAUUUUGUAUGAAGUGGAAACACUUCUUCCCUUCGGGGCUAUUUGCAAGGUGCUGCAUGGUUGUCGUCAGCUCGUGCUGUGAGGUGUCGGGUUAAGUCCCAUAACGAGCGCAACCCUUACCGUUAGUUGCCAUCGGGUCAAGCCGGGGACUCUAGCGGGACUGCCACCGUAAGGUGAGAGGAAGGUGGGGAUGACGUCAAAUCAGCACGGCCCUUAUGCCCAGGGCUACACACGUGUUACAAUGGCCGGUACAAAGGGCAGCUACUGCGCAAGCAGGUGCGAAUCCUAAAAGCCGGUCCCAGUUCGGAUUGGGGUCUGCAACCCGACCCCAUGAAGUUGGAAUCGCUAGUAAUCGGAUAUCAGCAACGAUCCGGUGAAUACGUU